rnacentral:tmRNA from 1 species
GGGGGCGUAAAGGUUUCGACGGGGACUUUGAACCAUAAUAAGCGAGUAGAGCAGGAGUAUACUCUUUAAACUGCACCACGUUUAAAUAUAAACGCUAGAAAAAACAUUACUGUAAGCACAAGAAACUUACAGGUAGCAGCCUAAGUCUGCUACUGUCCUCCUUUUGAGUACCACGGCAAAAGCCAGGGCACAGAUUAGUGGUGAACGUUAAUGCGGAAAGCUCCUGCCGUAUUAAUGUAUUCGGAGCUACCAAAGCCGGCAGACUGUUUAUCGCCGGCCGGCAGAGGGAAUUUUAAACGAUAAACUACACUCGUAGAAAGUUAUGCGGAUUGGUUUUCGGACACGGGUUCGAUUCCCGUCGCCUCCACCA